rnacentral:rRNA from 1 species
ACGGGAGGCAGCAGUGAGGAAUAUUGGUCAAUGGGCGUAAGCCUGAACCAGCCAAGUCGCGUGAGGGAUGAAGGUUGUAUGGAUCGUAAACCUCUUUUAUAAGGGAAUAAAGUGCGGGACGAGUCCUGUUUUGUAUGUACCUUAUGAAUAAGGAUCGGCUAACUCCGUGCCAGCAGCCGCGGUAAUACGGAGGAUCCGAGCGUUAUCCGGAUUUAUUGGGUUUAAAGGGUGCGUAGGCGGCCUUUUAAGUCAACGGUGAAAGUCUGUGGCUCAACCAUAGAAUUGCCGUUGAAACUGGGGGGCUUGAGUAUGUUUGAGGCAGGCGGAAUGCGUGGUGUAGCGGUGAAAUGCUUAGAUAUCACGCAGAACCCCGAUUGCGAAGGCAGCCUGCCAAGCAAUGACUGACGCUGAUGCACGAAAGCGUGGGGAUCAAACAGGAUUAAAUACCCUGGUAGUCAACGCAGUAAACGAUGAUAACUAGCUGUUUGCGAUAAACUGUAAGCGGCAC